GUGACCAGCGUAUGCAUCCCCAGGGCACACAUAAUGACCCUAUUCUCCUUAAGGCUUUGUAGCCGAGGGUCAGUCUUAUCCGAAAACAGGCCCUGGCCCUCAAACGGAAGGUCCUGGAUGUUAUAUUGGAGUUCCGGAGGAAGGCCAGAGACCUGAAGCCACAAGAUGCGGUGCAUAGUGACUCCUGAGGCCAGAGUCCUGGCGGCCGAGUCCGCAGCAUCCAAAGCUGCCUGCAGGGAAGUUCAUGCGACUUUCUUUCCCUCGUCAAGGAUAGCGGCGAACUCUUGACGAGCGUCCUGCGGGAGCAGCUCCUUAAAUUUAUCCACCGCCACCCAGGACAAAGGCAUAUCUGCUCUGCA